rnacentral:rRNA from 1 species
ACGAGGGCCCCAAGCGUUAUCCGGAUUUAUUGGGCGUAAAGGGUCCGUAGGCGGUUUGCCGCAUUUCCUGUUAAAUCCCGAGGCUCAACCUCGGAACCGCAGGAAAGAUGGGCAGACUAGAGACCGGAAGAGGCAAGCGGAAUUGCUGGUGUAGGGGUUAAAUCCGUUGAUAUCAGGAGGAACACCAAAGGCGAAGGCAGCUUGCUGGGACGGUUCUGACGCUCAUGGGCGAAUGCGUGGGGAGGUUAUCG